AGAGUUUGAUCCUGGCUCAGAACGAACGCUGGCGGCAGGCCUAACACAUGCAAGUCGAGCGCCCGCAAGGGAGCGGCAGACGGGUGAGUAACGCGUGGGAACGUGCCCUUUGGUUCGGAAUAUUCCCGGGAAACUGGGAGCAAAACCGGAUAAGCCCUUCGGGGGAAAGUUUACGCCAAAGGAUCGGCCCGCGUCAGAUUAGGUAGUUGGUGGGGUAACGGCCUACCAAGCCUACGAUCUAUAGCUGAUCUGAGAGGAUGAUCAGCCACACUGGGACUGAGACACGGCCCAGACUCCUACGGGAGGCAGCAGUGGGGAAUCUUGGACAAUGGGCGCAAGCCUGAUCCAGCCAUGCCGCGUGGAUGACUGAAGGCCCUAGGGUUGUAAAGUCCUUUCGACGGGGACGAUAAUGACGGUACCCGUAGAAGAAGCCCCGGCUAACUUCGUGCCAGCAGCCGCGGUAAUACGAAGGGGGCUAGCGUUGUUCGGAUUUACUGGGCGUAAAGGGCGCGUAGGCGGAUUUUUAAGUCGGGGGUGAAAUCCCGGAGCUCAACUCCGGAACUGCCUUCGAUACUGAAAGUCUGGAGCACGGUAGAGGUGAGUGGAAUUCCGAGUGUAGCGGUGAAAUGCGUAGA
rnacentral:rRNA from 1 species